GGCGAACGGGUGAGUAACGCGUGGAUGAUCUACCUAUGAGAUGGGGAUAACUAUUAGAAAUAGUAGCUAAUACCGAAUAAGGUCAGUUAAUUUGUUAAUUGAUGAAAGGAAGCCUUUAAAGCUUCGCUUGUAGAUGAGUCUGCGUCUUAUUAGCUAGUUGGUAGGGUAAAUGCCUACCAAGGCAAUGAUAAGUAACCGGCCUGAGAGGGUGAACGGUCACACUGGAACUGAGAUACGGUCCAGACUCCUACGGGAGGCAGCAGCUAAGAAUCUUCCGCAAUGGGCGAAAGCCUGACGGAGCGACACUGCGUGAAUGAAGAAGGUCGAAAGAUUGUAAAAUUCUUUUAUAAAUGAGGAAUAAGCUUUGUAGGAAAUGACAAAGUGAUGACGUUAAUUUAUGAAUAAGCCCCGGCUAAUUACGUGCCAGCAGCCGCGGUAAUACGUAAGGGGCGAGCGUUGUUCGGGAUUAUUGGGCGUAAAGGGUGAGUAGGCGGAUAUAUAAGUCUAUGCAUAAAAUACCACAGCUCAACUGUGGACCUAUGUUGGAAACUAUAUGUCUAGAGUCUGAUAGAGGAAGUUAGAAUUUCUGGUGUAAGGGUGGAAUCUGUUGAUAUCAGAAAGAAUACCGGAGGCGAAGGCGAACUUCUGGGUCAAGACUGACGCU
rnacentral:rRNA from 1 species